AUAAGGCCGCGAGGGAAGGUGGGGAUGACGUCAAGUCCUCAUGGCCCUUACGGGCUGGGCUACACAUGUGCUACAAUGGUGGUGACAGUGGGAUGCAAAGGCGACCUCUAGCAAAUCUCCAAAAGCCAUCUCAGUUCGGAUUGCACUCUGCAACUCGAGUGCAUGAAGUUGGAAUCGCUAGUAAUCGUGGAUCAGCAUGCCACGGUGAAUACGUUCCCGGGCCUU
rnacentral:rRNA from 1 species